GACAGAGGAGCCAAGCGUUGUCCGGAAUUAUUGGGCGUAAAGAGCUCGUAGGCGGCUUGUCACGUCGGGUGUGAAAGCUUGGGGCUUAACUCCAGGUCUGCAUUCGAUACGGGCUGGCUAGAGGUAGGUAGGGGAGAACGGAAUUCCUGGUGUAGCGGUGAAAUGCGCAGAUAUCAGGAGGAACACCGGUGGCGAAGGCGGUUCUCUGGGCCUUACCUGACGCUGAGGAGCGAAAGCGUGGGGAGCGAACAGG
rnacentral:rRNA from 1 species